rnacentral:rRNA from 1 species
AGAAUCAACGCUGGCGGCGUGCCUAACACAUGCAAGUCGAACGAGAAAGUGGGAGCAAUCCCAUGAGUAAAGUGGCGCACGGGUGAGUAACACGUGACUAACCUACCCUUGAGUGGGGGAUAACCUAGGGAACCUGGGCUAAUACCGCAUAAUACCUACGGGUCAAAGGAGCAAUUCGCUUUAGGAGGGGGUCGCGGCAGAUUAGUUAGUUGGCGGGGUAAUGGCCCACCAAGACAGUGAUCUGUAUCCGGCCUGAGAGGGCGCACGGACACACUGGAACUGAAACACGGUCCAGACUCCUACGGGAGGCAGCAGUGGGGAAUUUUGCGCAAUGGGGGAAACCCUGACGCAGCAACGCCGCGUGGAGGAUGAAGCCCCUUGGGGCGUAAACUCCUUUCGAUCGGGAAGAUAAUGACGGUACCGGAAGAAGAAGCCCCGGCUAACUUCGUGCCAGCAGCCGC